rnacentral:lncRNA from 1 species
AUGCUGACAGCAAUAGAUAAAAGGACAAAGUCAAAGUUUUUCUUUUUUCCUUUUUUUGAAGCUGGACACCUGGGAAUAUUUAGAAAUCAGAGAAGAAGCCAAGACUGGAAUGAGGAAGAUAAGAGAAUUGAAUUGUCCAAGUGCUUGAUAGUGGACCUGCAGCUAUCCAUACAGUAGGACACAAAACCUCCAUUUGAAAAUGUGUGUACAAUACUGAAAGAUUGGGGUAAGGCUGAAAAAUUUAAUUCACUUUUAUGAGCUUGGGUCAGGUUAACAACCUUACAAAGACUAAACCAUUUGUUUCUGCCUCUACUCGUUUGAGUGCCAAUUGACUGAAUUAAAUGCUUAAGAAUUAACUUGCUCUUGGCCUGUUGAGUGAGCUAAUUUGAAGUGACUACAAUUUAUUUCCUUCGUGCUCCUAUUCAUGACAUAUGAUAGGAUCAUGGCUCUGGUUAAUUAACAGGUAAGCUACAGGCACAAGUUAUCCUGCCCAAGUUGUUUCCUCAGUCUUCUGUGUGUGUAUCAGUGUGUGUGUGUGUGUGUGUUUCCUUUUGGUUUGCUUUGGGGGGGGAUCCCUGUUACCUUAUCUAAUGUGAUACAUUAGAAGGGCAGAUAAAAACACAGGAAGCUCUGAUCUCAUUAGCUGCCUUAGAAGGACAGAGAGGAAUGGAAGAGAUCUUCUAUUUUACUCGGUGCUAGCAAAUAAGUGCUCUCAGACAGCUACAAAGGCAAAGUCCCCAAGGAACCAAGAGUGAAAACAUUUGAGUCAUCUUGUGGAGGGACACAAGCUGAAACUCAGAGGCUGUUUUUGUGAACACAAAAUAACUUGGAGAACCCAACUUGACCUGAACACACAGAUCACUUUUUCCAAAUGCCAAACAAAAGCUGAAGGUUCCAAGUAAAAUUCUUGGGACCUUCUUUCUCUUAGUUAUUGGAACAGCGAUUGACAGGGAUGCAGUCAUCUGGGACGUCAUCAGGCCCAUGAGCAAAUGGACACUGCAUGUGGGUAAAGAGACUGCAGUGAAUGAUUCAGCACACAAACAGGACUGCCCCUAGAAUCAGUGGCUUGCUCCAAUUGAUCUCUCCUUAUGAUGACGGUGACACAAAGUCACAUCGGCUAGAAGCAUAGCACUGUAGAGACACAGCUAGUGAUCAAUACAGAUGCACAUAGAUGGAACAAAUACUACAAAAUGGUGGUUCUUUUGCAUUGAAUCAAUCUUUUCUAGUUCUGAUUAUUUAGAAUUAUCUUAAAAAAAAAGAUUGUGCUUCAGCUUCCAAAAUUUCUCUUACUUCAUGGUUUCUGAUGAAAUUUCUCUCGCUUUCUUCAUUAGAUUCUCUUCUAUAUUUCCUCAGCCAAUAAACAUGCAUGGAUAGAAAACCA